GACGAACGCUGGCGGCGUGCUUAACACAUGCAAGUCGAACGGAAAGGCCCUGCUUUUGUGGGGUGCUCGAGUGGCGAACGGGUGAGUAACACGUGAGUAACCUGCCCUUGACUUUGGGAUAACUUCAGGAAACUGGGGCUAAUACCGGAUAGGAGCUCCUGCUGCAUGGUGGGGGUUGGAAAGUUUCGGCGGUUGGGGAUGGACUCGCGGCUUAUCAGCUUGUUGGUGGGGUAGUGGCUUACCAAGGCUUUGACGGGUAGCCGGCCUGAGAGGGUGACCGGCCACAUUGGGACUGAGAUACGGCCCAGACUCCUACGGGAGGCAGCAGUGGGGAAUAUUGCACAAUGGGCGGAAGCCUGAUGCAGCAACGCCGCGUGCGGGAUGACGGCCUUCGGGUUGUAAACCGCUUUCGCCUGUGAGGAAGCGUGAGUGACGGUAAUGGGUAAAGAAGCACCGGCUAACUACGUGC
rnacentral:rRNA from 1 species